rnacentral:rRNA from 1 species
AAACAUAGUUAAAAGUAAUAAUUUUUAAUUAUUCCUGCCCAGUGUAUAUAUAAACGGCCGCAGUACUUUGACUGUGCUAAGGUAGCAUAAUCAAUUGGCUUUUAAUUUGAGUCUAGAAUGAAAGGAUUUAUGAGGAUUUACUGUUUCAAAUAUAUAAUAUUGAAUUUAUUAAAAAAGUGAAAAUACUUUUAUUUUAAAAAAAGACGAGAAGACCCUAAGAAUUUUUAGAUAGUAUUAUAAAUUAUUUUCUUUUUGUUGGGGCGACAACUAAGCACUAAAACCUUAAUUAUUUUUUAUCGGUUUUUUCAGUAUAAAAUAAAUUACCUUAGGGAUAACAGCAUAAUUUUUGAAAGUUUGUGACCUCGAUGUUGGACUAGGAACUUUAUAGCUAGCAGUAAAAAAG